rnacentral:rRNA from 1 species
UUGUGCAAAGGUAGCCAUAAUCAUUAGUCUUAUAAUUGAAGCCUGGAAUGAAAGGAUUAACUAGUAAAGCUCUUUUUUAGCUCUUCUUUUUAAAUUUUACUUUUUAGUAAAAAGGCUAAUAUGUGUCUUUUAGACAAGAAGUCCCUAUAAAACUUUACAUAUAACAAUUUAANAAAUUAGAAAUAUGUUUUACUGGGCCGGUAUAAGGAUAAANCCCCUUAAAACAUUAAAAAUAGCACUAUUUCAAUCCCCAAAAGUUUUGAAAAUUAAAUAAGCUACUUUAGGGAUCNCAGCGUAAUAGGAUUUGAAAGCUCAAAUUGACAAACGUGUUUNCCNCCUCGAAAGGGGAUUAAUUUUCCUUUACCUGUGCAAGAGCAGUANUAGGAGGUCUGUUGCCCU